AAUGAACGCUGGCGGCAGGCUUAACACAUGCAAGUCGAGCGGGCAAUUUAUCUAGCACUGAUUACUUCAAAUGGAAAUCAUAAGUGUAAUCAUGAAUUUCUACCUUUAAUAAGGGAAAAAGAAAUUCAUGUACGCAAAUAGUGAUAACACAUGAAAGUGGAGUGAUGAGUGCUGGAUAAAUUGCUAGCGGCGGACGGGUGCGUAACACGUGGGUAACCUGCCCCUAUCACUGGGAUAACACACUGAAAAGUGUGCUAAUACCAGAUAAUAUAAGCUUUUGGCAUCAUUAGCUUAUCAAAGAAUUUCGGAUAGGGAUGGGCCCGCGUCUGAUUAGCUAGUUGGUGAGGUAACGGCUCACCAAGGCAACGAUCAGUAGCCGACCUGAGAGGGUGAUCGGCCACACUGGAACUGAGACACGGUCCAGACUCCUACGGGGGGCAGCAGUGGGGAAUAUUGCACAAUGGGC
rnacentral:rRNA from 1 species